rnacentral:rRNA from 1 species
ACUCAAAUGAAUUGACGGGGGCCCGCACAAGCGGCGGAGCAUGCGGAUUAAUUCGAUGCAACGCGAAGAACCUUACCUGGGUUUGACAUGUACCGGAAAGCCACAGAGAUGUGGCCCCUUUUAGUCGGUAUGCAGGUGGUGCAUGGCUGUCGUCAGCUCGUGUCGUGAGAUGUUGGGUUAAGUCCCGCAACGAGCGCAACCCUCGUUCCAUGUUGCCAGCAUUUGGUUGGGGACUCAUGGGAGACUGCCGGGGUCAACUCGGAGGAAGGUGGGGAUGACGUCAAGUCAUCAUGCCCCUUAUGUCCAGGGCUUCACGCAUGCUACAAUGGCCGGUACAAAGGGCUGCGAUGCUGUAAGGCGGAGCGAAUCCCAAAAAGCCGGUCUCAGUUCGGAUUGGGGUCUGCAACUCGACCCCAUGAAGUCGGAGUCGCUAGUAAUCGCAGAUCAGCAACGCUGCGGUGAAUACGUUCCCGGGCCUUGUACACACCGCCCGU